ACGCUCGACACCUACGGAGGCAGCAGUGGGGAAUAUUGCACAAUGGGGGAAACCCUGAUGCAGCAACGCCGCGUGAAGGAAGACGGUUUUCGGAUUGUAAACUUCUGUUCUUAGUGAAGACAGUGACGGUAGCUAAGGAGCAAGCCACGGCUAACUACGUGCUAGCAGCCGCGGUAAUCUGAGCGGGCUGGCAAGGC
rnacentral:rRNA from 1 species